rnacentral:rRNA from 1 species
UACGAAGGGGGCUAGCGUUGUUCGGAAUUACUGGGCGUAAAGCGUGCGCAGGCGGCUUCUCAAGUCAGGGGUGAAAGCCCAGAGCUCAACUCUGGAAUUGCCUUUGAGACUGAGAGGCUUGAGUACGGGAGAGGUGAGUGGAAUUCCCAGUGAUAGAGGUGAAAUUCGUAGAUAUUGGGAAGAACACCAGUGGCGAAGGCGGCUCACUGGACCGUAACUGACGCUCAUGCACGACAGCGUGGGGAUCAAACAGG